rnacentral:tRNA from 1 species
GAGAGUUUAUUUUAAAAUUUAAAAUAAAAGAUUGUAAAUCUUUAGAUUUAAUUCUUA